AGUGAACGCUGGCGGCAGGCCUAACACAUGCAAGUCGAACGGCAGCACGGCAGUAGCAAUACUGUGGGUGGCGAGUGGCGGACGGGUGAGGAAUACAUCGGGAUCUACCCUGUUGUGGGGGAUAACGUAGGGAAACUUACGCUAAUACCGCAUAAGAACUGAGGUUGAAAGCGGCGGACCGCAAGGCGUCGCGCGAUUGGAUGAACCGAUGUCCGAUUAGCUAGUUGGCGGGGUAAAGGCCCACCAAGGCGACGAUCGGUAGCUGGUCUGAGAGGACGACCAGCCACACUGGAACUGAGACACGGUCCAGACUCCUACGGGAGGCAGCAGUGGGGAAUAUUGGACAAAU
rnacentral:rRNA from 1 species